UACGUAGGGGGCGAGCGUUGUCCGGAAUUAUUGGGCGUAAAGAGCGUGUAGGCUGUUCGGUAAGUCUGCCGUGAAAACCUGAGGCUCAACCUCGGGCGUGCGGUGGAUACUGCCGGGCUAGAGGACGGUAGAGGCGAGUGGAAUUCCCGGUGUAGCGGUGAAAUGCGCAGAUAUCGGGAGGAACACCAGUAGCGAAGGCGGCUC
rnacentral:rRNA from 1 species